CUUCCAGACUCCUACGGGAGGCAGCAGUGGGGAAUAUUGCGCAAUGGGCGAAAGCCUGACGCAGCGACGCCGUGUGAGGGAUGAAGGUCUUCGGAUCGUAAACCUCUGUCAGCAGGGAAGAACGGUCACUGUGCUAAUCAGCAGUGAAUUGACGGUACCUGCAAAGGAAGCACCGGCUAACUCCGUGCCAGCAGCCGCGGUAAUACGUAGGUGGCAAGCGUUGUCCGGAUUUACUGGGUGUAAAGGGCGUGUAGCCGGGCCGGCAAGUCAGAUGUGAAAUCCCAAGGCUCAACCUUGGAACUGCAUUUGAAACUGUUGGUCUUGAGUAUCGGAGAGGCAGGCGGAAUUCCUAGUGUAGCGGUGAAAUGCGUAGAUAUUAGGAGGAACACCAGUGGCGAAGGCGGCCUGCUGGACGACAACUGACGGUGAGGCGCGAAAGCGUGGGGAGCAAACAGGAUUAGAUACCCCCGUAU
rnacentral:rRNA from 1 species